AUUUCUUUUCUUUUCUUUCUUUUAUUAAACUCUAUUUCUUUUCUUUUCUUUCUUUUCCUAACUGAUACCUUCCGGUGCACUAUCGCUGCCCUCUAUUGCACCGUCGUUGCCCUCUAGGGCACAUCGUCUCUCUUGUUCGCUACAGCCCAUGUGUGCAAUUGUCCACUAAAUUCAUAUGAAUAUGUUGUGGCUAAAUCUCUGCUUUUAUCUGCUCAUUAUGAUGUUUAGAAUAUGUGCACACUAAGGGUUUGAUGAAAUGUUUGUGUUAGUUUUCCCCUCUAAUUUUAUUCACAAUUGUCUAAGUACCUUUGUUGCAAUUAUUGUUGAUUGUGCGUAGGUUGAGUUUGACAUGGUGAAGGUUCAUGUACAUACAAGGGUAAGGGAUAAAAGUUGGAACUAUUGAACGCGCUUCAGGGUACCCUUUGUGCUGUCAGGCGUGAGCAGCCUUUGUGAGAGGAUAUGAUGUUAUUCACAAACUAUUUACAGAGCUGGCUUACUGAUACAAGACAUGAGGAUAUACAAGAGUUCUUCGAACUUGAAUAAAAGUUGGUGAUGCUGCACCAAUGACGUAUAUUGAGUCACUGCAAUGCUUAUUGAAUUUGGGUCGACUAAAUUUAAGCCUACUCAAAUUAUACAACAGUUAUUAAUCUCAAAACAUUGCGAAAUUAACAAUGCGUUGGAUCCCUGAACAAGAUCUCAGCUUAGCAGGAGUUUUGCAUCUCCGGCUCCACAACCAGCUCAAAGACCACCAUUGGAUCCCUCGAGAAGAUCUCAGCUUAGCAGGAGUUUCGCAUCUCCUAAAGAAGGCAAAAGCUUAGAAGCAGAGGAUUAAACCUUAUUGUCACUGGAAUCAUCCCUUCUAAAAGGUUAAUCAUGGUAGGUACGGGUCACUGUGGGAUAACUGGAUUUGUGUCGCCUCUGAGAUUGGUUAGAACGGGUCAUCUGUUACUAGAAAUGGAAUUCGGUAUAUAUUAUUAGAAGCUUUCGAGCGAAGUUUUAUGACAGAGAAAUUCUCACUCAAAAGAACGUUUAAACUCCUCAUGUAAACAUUUGGAAUUUGAAAUAUGUUACUUAUUACAUAAUGUUUUGCUAAUACUUGGAGUAUGUUUCACAUCAAUAUAUUAUUGAAGUUUUAAUAGUAUGAUUGUUUACAUU
rnacentral:lncRNA from 1 species